UUCCAGACUCCUACGGGAGGCAGCAGUGAGGAAUAUUGGUCAAUGGACGGAAGUCUGAACCAGCCAUGCCGCGUGCAGGAAGACGGCUCUAUGAGUUGUAAACUGCUUUUGUACAAGGGUAAACCUGAAUACGUGUAUUCAGCUGAAAGUACUGUACGAAUAAGGAUCGGCUAACUCCGUGCCAGCAGCCGCGGUAAUACGGAGGAUCCAAGCGUUAUCCGGAUUUAUUGGGUUUAAAGGGUGCGUAGGCGGUCCGGAAAGUCAGGGGAAAAAGCGCGGGGCUCACCCCCGGCGAGCCGUUGAAACUGUCGGACUAGAGACGGCGAGAAGUACGCGGAAUGCGCGGUGUAGCGGUGAAAUGCAUAGAUAUCGCGCAGAACUCCGAUUGCGAAGGCAGCGUACCGGCGCCGGACUGACGCUGAGGCACGAAAGCGUGGGUAUCGAACAGGAUUAGAUACCCCAGUAA
rnacentral:rRNA from 1 species